rfam:Termitomyces sp. J132 unplaced genomic scaffold scaffold445, whole genome shotgun sequence.
GGCGCUAUAGCCAAGUGGUUACGGCGACAGAUUAGAAUUCGUAAGAAGAAUUUGGGUGAUCUGUUCCUCUUUGAGGGCGCAGGUUCAAAUCCUGCUGGCGUCG